CUGGUAUCAAACAUCCCUGCUCUUGUCAGCUCCUUCUCAGCUCGACACCUUUCCCUUCCUCUGCCUUGGGAUCAGAGGGCUCUACCUGCCCUGGGUGAAGCUCCGUGGGUGGCUGCAGAUGCAAGCACAGCACAGUACGGCUUUGUACUCCCUUCAAAACAGCAGAAUGUAUAUGGUUUCCACUUGAAAAUGGAAUAAAAAUUCAGUCCCCACAGGAAACAUCUGAG
rnacentral:lncRNA from 1 species